rnacentral:rRNA from 1 species
UACGUAGGGUGCAAGCGUUGUCCGGAUUUAUUGGGUUUAAAGGGUGCGUAGGCGGCUUUGUAAGUCAGUGGUGAAAUAUGGCAGCUCAACUGUCAAGGUGCCAUUGAUACUGCGGAGCUUGAGUACAGAUGAGGUAGGCGGAAUUGACGGUGUAGCGGUGAAAUGCUUAGAUAUCGUCAAGAACACCUAUAGCGAAGGCAGCUUACUAGGCUGUAACUGACGCUGAGGCACGAAAGUGUGGGGAUCAAACAGG